CCAGUGGCAGGUAAGAUAUUUUAAACUGCGGGAUCAGUUUAAAAUAUGAUAGUCAUUUCAGGAGAAGCAAUCUAUCUACAGGAGUCUGCAGUUGCAUCAGCGUGUGUAUAUUUGACGUGAAUGCUGAGGUGGCAGCGGAAGUGGCAGCCCUCGUGUAAAGCCCUCCUCGUGUGAAGACCUACUUGUGUAAAGACCAGCGAAUCUACCUGUGUGAGGACACUGACAAAGUGCCACUCAUCAUAGCACUUAAGUAUCUUUUUUUAUUUAAUUUAAUUUUUUAUAUUUUCCUUAUACAUUCCCAUGUGUCUAAUCUAUGCAUAACAUGUGCCCUCAAGCACAUCCCUGUUAUCUGUUACAGACAUUUUACACAAUAUAGACACAGGUCACAAUGCAACCCACACAACCUAUGGCCACUUUGCACAUCAGAACCUGCUCUGCUCUCAUUUUCGGUGAGACUCUGGAACUGUCAGUCAGCUGUGAACAAAGCUGACUUAAUUCCAGCCUUUGCCACACAGUCCACCCUCAGCAUCAUCACACUGACAGAAACAUAGAUAUGUCCAGAGGAUACAGCAACACCCUCUGCUCUCUCCAACAACUUCUCCUUAUCUCACACCCCUCGACAUAGCGGUAGGGGUGGGGGAACAGGUUUGCUCAUUCCAAACAACUGAACAUUUUCACCACACUCCUGUCUAUGUAACUAAACUUCUUUUGAAUUCCAUGCUAUUACUACAAUGCAACCAAAAAAAAAUCCAUGUUGUUGUCAUCUAUCAACCUCCAGGUCAGCUGGCAAACUUUCAUGAGGAGCUGGAUGUCCUGCUGUCCUCCUUCCCUGAAGAUAGUAGGCCACUUGUUCUUGGAGAUUUCAACAUACACCAAGACGAGCCCCAGGCCACUGAACUUCAUGUUCUUCUGUCCUCGUUUGACUUGGACAGACUAAGCAGGACCUCAUUUUUACAUGCCAGCGCAUAUGGCACCACCCAGCCCCUGGCUCUCUGACAUUCUUUGUGAACAUCGGACUGACCUCAGGGCAGCUAAGAGGAGAUGGUGGAAAUCUAAAGAACCAGCAGAUCAGGAACAAGCUGCUAGAUGACAAUCAGUCAGGCUUCAAAAUUGGACAUUCCACCGAGACUGCCCUGCUGUCUGUCACUGAUUCACUGAGAUAGGUGAGAGCUGGAUCCAGAUCCUCCGUCCUGAUUCUACUGGACUGUUCUGCAGCCUUUGACACAGUCAACCAUCAGAUCCUACUCUCCACCCUCUCUACUCUGGGCAUCACAGGAACUGUGCUUGACUGGUUUAAUUUCUCAGGUAGGUCCUUCAAGGUAGCCUGAGAGGUGAGGUGUCCAAGUCACAUCAGCUACUUACUGGGGUACCUCAGGGCUCAGUGCUUGGGCCACUUCUCUUCUCUAUAUACACAACAUCACUGGGACCCAUCAUUCAGGCACAUGAGUUCUCUUACCACUGCCACACUGAUGACACACAGCUCUACUUGUCUUUUGAGCCCAAAGACACAAUGGUGACUGCUCAAAUCUCGGCCUGUUUGGCAGACAUCUCGGCCUGGAUGAAGGAACACCACCUUCAACUUAACCCAGCGAAGACUGAGCUCCUUGUCUUUCCAAGCAAUCCUGCUGUUGAACACAGCAUCACCAUUCAGCUGGGUUCAUCUACAGUAACGCCUUCCAAAACAGUCAGAAAUCUCAGAGUUACCAUCGAUAACCAACUCAAUUUCACAGAUCACAUCUCAAAGACAGCACGAUCAUAUAGAAUUACACUCUACAAUAUCAGGAAAAUAAGACUCUUCCUCUCUGAACAUGCCACACAACUUCUUGUUCAGUCACUUGUUAUAACUAGACUGGACUACUGUAACGCUCUCAUUGCAGGCCUCCCUGCAUGCGUAAUUAGGCCCCUGUAAAUGAUCCAGAAUGCAGCAGCAUGUCUGGUCUUUAAAGAACCAAAGUGAGAGCAUGUUACACCACUCCUUGGAAAUUCAAGGCUCUGAUGCUGGCAUACAGAACAGUCACUGGGUCUGCUCUAGCAUACUUCAAAUCAUUUCUGCAGAGCUACGUUCCCACCAGAAGCCUGCGGUUGGCUAAUGAGCGGCCAACCGCCUUGUUGAACCAACACAAAGAGGCACCAAAAUACUUUCUCGGACUAUCGGUUUCACUGUACCACGUUGGUGGAAUGACCUUCCCAACUCCAUCCGUGAAGCAGACUCACUCUCUGUCUUCAAAAAUCAGCUAAAAACACAUCUUUUCCAUGAGCACUUAACUGUUCACUCAUAAAAAAAUAAAAAAUAUAUAUAUUCUUGUUGCACUCUAAUCUGUCUUGGAUACUACUAUUCUGAUGCUAGUGAAACUUUGUAAUGCAGCACUUUUCGUUCCACUGUCUCCUUAAGAUGAAUCACAUAUGAUGUAUUAUUCCUCGUUUGUAAGCCGCUUUGGAUAAAAGAGUCUGCCAAAUGAAUAAAUGUAAAUGUAUAUAUGUUUUGUUUUUGGCAAGUUGCAUUCUUUGUGCAUAUCACCACCUACUGGGCAGAGAGGAUAAUUUAUAGUAAAAAAGGCCUUAAAUA